CUCGACGGAAGGCCCCACCCAAACACCGCAACCAAAAAAGACGAAAAUUCCCAAAAUGGACAUAAUCAAGAUAUUACCAUUAACGACCCUUCUAUUGAUGACCCAGGGCCUAGCAACCGAAUAUAAAGUAACUCCAAUUCCUUCAUCCUCAGGAAUCAUAUUUCAUAACUUAGGCUUAGCAAAAAUAUCUAAUGAACA